rnacentral:rRNA from 1 species
CCUACGGGACGCAGCAGUGGGGGAUAUUGCACAAUGGGGGGAACCCUGAUGCAGCGACGCCGCGUGGGCGAUGGAGUACUUCGGUAUGUAAAGCCCUAUCAGCAGGGAAGAAAAUGACGGUACCUGACUAAGAAGCCCCGGCUAAAUACGUGCCAGCAGCCGCGGUAAUACGUAGGGGGCAAGCGUUAUCCGGAUUUACUGGGUGUAAAGGGAGCGCAGACGGCAGUGCAAGUCUGGAGUGAAAGCCCGGGGCCCAACCCCGGAACUGCUCUGGAAACUGUGCGGCUAGAGUACUGGAGGGGCAG